rnacentral:rRNA from 1 species
UUAAGCGACUAAGCGUACACGGUGGAUGCCCUGGCAGUCAGAGGCGAUGAAGGACGUGCUAAUCUGCGAUAAGCGUCGGUAAGGUGAUAUGAACCGUUAUAACCGGCGAUUUCCGAAUGGGGAAACCCAGUGUGAUUCGUCACACUAUCAUUACGUGAAUACAUAGCGUAAUGAAGCGAACCGGGGGAACUGAAACAUCUAAGUACCCCGAGGAAAAGAAAUCAACCGAGAUUCCCCCAGUAGCGGCGAGCGAACGGGGAGCAGCCCAGAGUCUGAAUCAGCUUGUGUGUUAGUGGAACGGUCUGGAAAGUCCGACGGUACAGGGUGAUAGUCCCGUACACCAAAAUGCACAGGUUGUGAACUCGAAGAGUAGGGCGGGACACGUGGUAUCCUGUCUGAAUAUGGGGGGACCAUCCUCCAAGGCUAAAUACUCCUGACUGACCGAUAGUGAACCAGUACCGUGAGGGAAAGGCGAAAAGAACCCCGGCGAGGGGAGUGAAAAAGAACCUGAAACCGUGUACGUACAAGCAGUGGGAGCAUCCUUUUGGGUGUGACUGCGUACCUUUUGUAUAAUGGGUCAGCGACUUAUAUUCUGUAGCAAGGUUAACCGUAUAGGGGAGCCGAAGGGAAACCGAGUCUUAACUGGGCGUUAAGUUGCAGGGUAUAGACCCGAAACCCGGUGAUCUAGCCAUGGGCAGGUUGAAGGUUGGGUAACACUAACUGGAGGACCGAACCGACUAAUGUUGAAAAAUUAGCGGAUGACUUGUGGCUGGGGGUGAAAGGCCAAUCAAACCGGGAGAUAGCUGGUUCUCCCCGAAAGCUAUUUAGGUAGCGCCUCGUGAAUUCAUCUUCGGGGGUAGAGCACUGUUUCGGCUAGGGGGUCAUCCCGACUUACCAACCCGAUGCAAACUGCGAAUACCGAAGAAUGUUAUCACGGGAGACACACGGCGGGUGCUAACGUCCGUCGUGAAGAGGGAAACAACCCAGACCGCCAGCUAAGGUCCCAAAGUCAUGGUUAAGUGGGAAACGAUGUGGGAAGGCACAGACAGCCAGGAUGUUGGCUUAGAAGCAGCCAUCAUUUAAAGAAAGCGUAAUAGCUCACUGGUCGAGUCGGCCUGCGCGGAAGAUGUAACGGGGCUAAACCAUGCACCGAAGCUGCGGCAGCGACACUAUGUGUUGUUGGGUAGGGGAGCGUUCUGUAAGCCGUUGAAGGUGUGCUGUGAGGCAUGCUGGAGGUAUCAGAAGUGCGAAUGCUGACAUAAGUAACGAUAAUGCGGGUGAAAAACCCGCACGCCGGAAGACCAAGGGUUCCUGUCCAACGUUAAUCGGGGCAGGGUGAGUCGACCCCUAAGGCGAGGCCGAAAGGCGUAGUCGAUGGGAAACAGGUUAAUAUUCCUGUACUUGGUGUUACUGCGAAGGGGGGACGGAGAAGGCUAUGUUAGCCGGGCGACGGUUGUCCCGGUUUAAGCAUGUAGGCGGAGGUUCCAGGUAAAUCCGGUACCUUUUUAACGCUGAGGUGUGAUGACGAGGCACUACGGUGCUGAAGUAACAAAUGCCCUGCUUCCAGGAAAAGCCUCUAAGCAUCAGGUAACACGAAAUCGUACCCAAAACCGACACAGGUGGUCAGGUAGAGAAUACCAAGGCGCUUGAGAGAACUCGGGUGAAGGAACUAGGCAAAAUGGUGCCGUAACUUCGGGAGAAGGCACGCUGAUAUGUAGGUGAAGUGAUUUACUCAUGGAGCUGAAAUCAGUCGAAGAUACCAGCUGGCUGCAACUGUUUAUUAAAAACACAGCACUGUGCAAACACGAAAGUGGACGUAUACGGUGUGACGCCUGCCCGGUGCCGGAAGGUUAAUUGAUGGGGUUAUCCGUAAGGAGAAGCUCUUGAUCGAAGCCCCGGUAAACGGCGGCCGUAACUAUAACGGUCCUAAGGUAGCGAAAUUCCUUGUCGGGUAAGUUCCGACCUGCACGAAUGGCGUAAUGAUGGCCAGGCUGUCUCCACCCGAGACUCAGUGAAAUUGAACUCGCUGUGAAGAUGCAGUGUACCCGCGGCAAGACGGAAAGACCCCGUGAACCUUUACUAUAGCUUGACACUGAACACUGGUCCUUGAUGUGUAGGAUAGGUGGGAGGCUUUGAAGUGUGGACGCCAGUCUGCAUGGAGCCAUCCUUGAAAUACCACCCUUUAAUGGCUGGUGUUCUAACGUGGACCCGUAAUCCGGGUUGCGGACAGUGUCUGGUGGGUAGUUUGACUGGGGCGGUCUCCUCCUAAAGAGUAACGGAGGAGCACGAAGGUUAGCUAAUCCUGGUCGGACAUCAGGAGGUUAGUGCAAAGGCAUAAGCUAGCUUGACUGCGAGAGUGACGGCUCGAGCAGGUGCGAAAGCAGGUCUUAGUGAUCCGGUGGUUCUGAAUGGAAGGGCCAUCGCUCAACGGAUAAAAGGUACUCCGGGGAUAACAGGCUGAUACCGCCCAAGAGUUCAUAUCGACGGCGGUGUUUGGCACCUCGAUGUCGGCUCAUCACAUCCUGGGGCUGAAGUAGGUCCCAAGGGUAUGGCUGUUCGCCAUUUAAAGUGGUACGCGAGCUGGGUUUAGAACGUCGUGAGACAGUUCGGUCCCUAUCUGCCGUGGGCGCUGGAGAAUUGAGGGGGGCUGCUCCUAGUACGAGAGGACCGGAGUGGACGCAUCACUGGUGUUCGGGUUGUCAUGCCAAUGGCAUUGCCCGGUAGCUAAAUGCGGAAGAGAUAAGUGCUGAAAGCAUCUAAGCACGAAACUUGCCCCGAGAUGAGUUCUCCCUGAGACUUUAAGUCUCCUGAAGGAACGUUGAAGACGACGACGUUGAUAGGUCGGGUGUGUAAGUGUAGCGAUACAUUGAGCUAACCGAUACUAAUGAACCGUGAGGCUUAACCUU